rnacentral:rRNA from 1 species
UUGACCUCAAAUCAGGUUCUGAUUACCCGCUGAACUUAAGCAUAUCAAUAAGCGGAGGA